rnacentral:rRNA from 1 species
AAUCGAACCCGGAGAUAGCUGGUUCUCCUCGAAAUAGCUUUAGGGCUAGCCUCGGUUUAGUUUCAUGGAGGUAGAGCACUGAAUUCCUAAGGGGGCGUCAAAGCUUACCGCGGGAUAUCAAACUCCGAAUGCCAUAGAAAUGAUGACCGGGAGUCAGACUGCACGAGAUAAGUUGGGCAGUCAAAAGGGAAAGAGCCCAGACCUGCAGCUAAGGUCCCAAAGUGUGUGUUAAGUGGAAAAGGAUGUGGGAUUUCAAAGACAACCAGGAUGUUGGCUUAGAAGCAGCCAUCGUUUAAAGAAAGCGUAAUAGCUCACUGGUCUAAUGGCUCUGCGCCGAAAAUGUAACGGGGCUAAGCAUGGUACCGAAGCUUUGGCAAUCCCCUUUGGGGAUUGGGUAGGGGAGCGUUCGCUGCGGGCUGAAGGUGUGCCGGAAGGCAUGCUGGACUGCAGUGAAGUGAUUAUGCUGACAUGAGUAACGAUAAAAUAUGUGAAAAACAUAUUCGCCGAAAACCCGAGGUUUCCUGGGUAAAGGUAAUCUUCCCAGGGUUAGUCGGAUCCUAAGGUGAGGGUGAAAGCCGUAACCGAUGGAAAACAGGUUAAUAUUCCUGUACUUGUUGUGUAGCGCGAUGGAGGGACGCAGGAAGAUAGGCGGGCCGGGUGUUGGAUAUCCCGGUGCAAGCGUGUAGGAAUAUCCGGUAGGCAAAUCCGCUGGACGAAUCUGAGACGCGAGUCCGUGGGCGCAAGCCCUGAAGCCGUUGAGUCUAUGCUGCCUAGAAAAGCUCCUAAGUUUAUCCACAGCAAUCCGUACCGCAAACCAACUCAGGUGGGUGGGAUGAACAAUCCAAGGCGCUCGAGAGAACUCUGGCCAAGGAACUCGGCAAAAUAACCCCGUAACUUCGGAAGAAGGGGUGCUCUCUAGGGUGACAUGUUUAACAUAUGAAGCCCCGGGGAGCCGCAGUGAAUUGGUGGUGGCGACUGUUUACUAAAAACAUAGGUCUGUGCGAAGUCCUAAAGACGACGUAUACGGACUGACGCCUGCCCGGUGCUGGAAGGUUAAAAGGAGGGGUCAGCGCAAGCAAAGCUCCGAAUUGAAGCCCCAGUAAACGGCGGCCGUAACUAUAACGGUCCUAAGGUAGCGAAAUUCCUUGUCGGGUAAGUUCCGACCUGCACGAAUGGCGUAACGAUCUCCACACUGUCUCGGCCAGAGACUCGGUGAAAUUGCAGUCGCGGUGAAAAUUCCGUGUACCCGCAGAAAGACGGAAAGACCCUGUGCACCUUUACUAUAGCUUGACAUUGGAUUUUGGGCCUGCAUGUGUAGGAUAGGUGGGAGGCUGUGAACCCUGUACGCCAGUAUGGGGGGAGCCAUCCUUGAAAUACCACCCUUGCAUGUUUAAGAUCCUAACUUCUUCCGGUUAUCCCGGAGAAAGACAGUGUCUGGCGGGUAGUUUGACUGGGGCGGUCGCCUCCUAAAGUGUAACGGAGGCAUGCAAAGGUUCCCUCAGCCUGAUCGGAAACCAGGCGCUGAGUGCAAACGCAUAAGGGAGCUUGACUGUAAGAGAGACAUCUCGAACAGGAACGAAAGUUGGCGUUAGUGAUCCGGUGGUCCCGAAUGGAAGGGCCAUCGCUCAUUGGAUAAAAGGUACGCCGGGGAUAACAGGCUGAUCGCAUCCAAGAGUUCACAUCGACGAUGCGGUUUGGCACCUCGAUGUCGGCUCAUCACAUCCUGGGGCUGAAGCAGGUCCCAAGGGUACGGCUGUUCGCCGUUUAAAGUGGUACGCGAGCUGGGUUUAAAACGUCGUGAGACAGUUUGGUCCCUAUCUUCUGUGGGCGAAGGAGAAUUGAGAGGGCCUGUCCCUAGUACGAGAGGACCGGGAUGGACGCACCCCUGGUGAUCCUGUUGUCGCGCCAGCGGCAUAGCAGGGUAGCUAUGUGCGGAAGGGAUAACCGCUGAAAGCAUCUAAGCGGGAAACUUGCCUGAAGAUAAGUCUUCCUGGAGGCUAGACCUCCCUAAAGAGUCGUUCGAGACCAGGACGUUGAUAGGUCAGGUGUGGAAGCGUUGUGAGACGUUAAGCUAACUGAUACUAAUUGCUCGUAAGGCUUGAUC